rnacentral:rRNA from 1 species
ACGACGCCGCGUGUAGGANCCAAGGCCUUAGGGUUGUAAACUACUGUCACGAGUUAUGAAUGGCUUGUAGUCAAUAUCUGCAAGUUUGACGUAAGCUCGAGAGGAAGCACCGGCUAACUCUGUGCCAGCAGCCGCGGUAAUACAGAGGGUGCAAACGUUGUUCGGAAUCACUGGGCAUAAAGCGCACGUAGGCGGCUCAGCCAGUGCGGAGUGAAAGCCCAUGGCUCACCCGUGGAAUUGCUUCGCAUACUACUGAGCUCGAGUACAGGAGAGGAGAGCGGAACUCUUGGUGGAGCGGUGAAAUGCGUAGAUAUCAAGAGGAACACCAAAGGCGAAGGCAGCUCUCUGGCCUGUGUCUGACGCUGAGGUGCGAAAGCCAGGGUAGCGAAAGGGAUUAGAUACCCCUGUAGUC